rnacentral:rRNA from 1 species
UACGUAGGUGGCGAGCGUUGUCCGGAUUUACUGGGCGUAAAGGGAGCGUAGGCGGACUUUUAAGUGAGAUGUGAAAUACUCGGGCUCAACUUGAGUGCUGCAUUUCAAACUGGAAGUCUAGAGUGCAGGAGAGGAGAAUGGAAUUCCCAGUGUAGCGGUGAAAUGCGUAGAGAUUAGGAAGAACACCAGUGGCGAAGGCGAUUCUCUGGACUGUAACUGACGCUGAGGCUCGAAAGCGUGGGGAGCAAACAGG